UAUAAAAACUUCACAUCAGACUGUCAGUGGAGAUCACAGCACAUCAGUUUCACCAUAAACCAUGUUCUCUGUAGCUCUGCUGCUGCUGUUGGCAGCUGGAUCCUGUGUGAAGUGUGAACAGUUGACACAGCCAGCCUCAGUGACUGUGCAGCCAGGUCAACGUCUGACCAUCACCUGUCAGGUCUCUUAUUCUGUUAGCGACUAUUACACAGCUUGGAUCAGACAGCCUGCAGGGAAAGAACUGGAGUGGAUUGGAAGUAGAUAUACUGGAGCUUCAUACUACAAGGAUUCACUAAAGAACAAGUUCAGUAUCGACUUAGACUCUUCCAGCAACAGAGUGACUCUAAAUGGACAGAAUGUGCAGCCUGAAGACACUGCUGUGUAUUACUGUGCCAGAGACCCACAAUAACACAAACCAUCAGCAGACCUGAACAAAAACCCCUCAGUGCCUGAACACUUGUAACAUGAAGCCACCAGAGGAGGAGCCCUCAGACCACUAAUGAUUUCAACACCAGUUCAUCACUAAAGAGGAAAAAAGACUACAGUAUAUUUAUAGCAGGAAUUAUAAGAAGAGCCUUUAAAACAUAUUAUUAAUUUAAUUUUAACAACAAUUUAUUACUAUAUGCCAUUAAACACUAAACCUUUAAUUUUACCAUUAAUGAAAAAGACAUGUAUGAGGUAACAUUCCGACUAAAUUCCCCCAAAUAAUCUCCCAUCAGUGUCUAUUCUUACAAUAAUGAGGAGUAAAGGAAUUAUUUAUUUAACAGCUCUUCAUCUGACUAGAAAUUGUUCUCCAAAAAGUCACUUCUUCAUUCAUAACUUUACCAUUUCAACAAAUCCAUCAUUUUUUUUGGAACACCAUUUGUAA